rnacentral:RNase_P_RNA from 2 species
UGAGCAAAUCAGGUGAUCGCGGGCGCCGGGCCGAAAGGUGGCGCCUGAGGAAAGUCCGGGCUCCACAGGGCAUGGUGCUGGGUAAUUCCCAGUGGGGGCGACCCCGAGGAUAGUGCCACAGAAAUGCAGACCGCCCGUCCCCGGCAGGGGAUGUGGCAAGGAUGGAACGGUGCGGUAAGAGCGCACCAGCGGGCGGGCGACCGUCCGGCUAGGUAAACCCCACCAGGAGCAAGACCGAAUAGGGGAACAAUGGGGCGGCCCGUCCCGUUCCCGGGUUAGGUCGCACGAGGCGCCGGGCAACCGGCGUCCUAGAUAGAUGAUCACCCACGACAGAACCCGGCUUAUCGAUUGCUCACGUU